GGUAACGACGGUUACGUCGGGAGUGACUGAAUAAACUUACUGGCAUAUAGCUAGUUAAGGUGAUGAGACACAGGUGGUGCUGCUACGAAAGUAGAAUCGAUUUACCAAUCGGGUCUCAGGCAAGAAUGUUUUUACUCUGUAGUAAUGCCCAUUCUUUGUUGGUAUACAGGAUUCCAACCUCCCUCUAU
rfam:Synechococcus phage metaG-MbCM1, complete genome.